rnacentral:rRNA from 1 species
AGCAGUCGCCGCGGUAAUACGUAGGGUGCAAGCGUUAAUCGGAAUUACUGGGCGUAAAGCGUGCGCAGGCGGUUAUAUAAGACAGAUGUGAAAUCCCCGGGCUCAACCUGGGAACUGCAUUUGUGACUGUAUAGCUAGAGUACGGCAGAGGGGGAUGGAAUUCCGCGUGUAGCAGUGAAAUGCGUAGAUAUGCGGAGGAACACCGAUGGCGAAGGCAAUCCCCUGGGCCUGUACUGACGCUCAUGCACGAAAGCGUGGGGAGCAAACAGGAUUAGAGACCCCAGUAGUCCCUGUCUCUUAUAC